CCUACGGGUGGCAGCAGUGAGGAAUAUUGGUCAAUGGACGAGAGUCUGAACCAGCCAAGUAGCGUGAAGGAUGACUGCCCUAUGGGUUGUAAACUUCUUUUAUAUGGGAAUAAAACGUUCCACGUGUGGGAUUUUGUAUGUACCAUAUGAAUAAGGAUCGGCUAACUCCGUGCCAGCCGCCGCGGUAAUAAGGAGGAUCCGAGCGUGUUCCGGAUUUAUUGGUUUUAAAGGGUGCGUAGGUGGAAUGUUAAGUCAGUUGUGAAAGUUUGCGGCUCAACCGUAACAUUGCAGUUGAAACUGGCAGGCGUGAGUACAGUAGAGGUGGGCGGAAUGCGUGGUGUAGCGGUGAAAUGCUUAGAUAUCACGAAGAACUCCGAUUGCGAAGGCAGUUCACUGGACUGCAACUGACACUGAGGCUCGAAAGUGUGGGUAUCAAACAGGAUUAGAUACCCUUGUAGUC
rnacentral:rRNA from 1 species